rnacentral:misc_RNA from 1 species
GCCAUCCUUGGAAAAUGUUGGAAAGACACCCGACAACCUAAAAAGUCCUACAUCUGGAUGUGGAGAGUGGAGCUUAUGGAAAUUUCUUUGGCUAUCGUCUCCAUGCUGCCCAAUUAGCAUUCUUAAAUUCAACCUAUACUGCUAAAAUUUGAAGAAAUUCAUUCUUUAAUUAGUUAGUAGGUACCUUGAGAAGGUCACUUUUGCAACGAUGGUAACCUAUGCGCUUCCCACCAUCUAUGACGAAGGGGUUGAAAUGGUCAGCCUUU